rnacentral:rRNA from 1 species
GAUUGAACGCUGGCGGAAUGCUUUACACAUGCAAGUCGAACGGCAGCACGGGAGCUUGCUCCUGGCGGCGAGUGGCGAACGGGUGAGUAAUGCGUCGGAACGUACCGAGUAAUGGGGGAUAACGCAGCGAAAGUUGUGCUAAUACCGCAUACGCCCUCCGGGGGAAAGCAGGGGAUCUUCGGACCUUGCGUUAUUCGAGCGGCCGACGUCUGAUUAGCUAGUUGGUGGGGUAAAGGCCUACCAAGGCGACGAUCAGUAGCGGGUCUGAGAGGAUGAUCCGCCACACUGGAACUGAGACACGGUCCAGACUCCUACGGGAGGCAGCAGUGGGGAAUUUUGGACAAUGGGGGCAACCCUGAUCCAGCCAUUCCGCGUGAGUGAAGAAGGCCUUCGGGUUGUAAAGCUCUUUCAGCAGGAACGAAACGGUACGCUCUAACAUAGCGUGCUAAUGACGGUACCUGCAGAAGAAGCACCGGCUAACUACGUGCCAGCAGCCGCGGUAAUACGUAGGGUGCGAGCGUUAAUCGGAAUUACUGGGCGUAAAGCGUGCGCAGGCGGACUGUUAAGCAUGAUGUGAAAUCCCCGGGCUUAACCUGGGAAUGGCAUUUUGAACUGGCAGUCUAGAGUGUGUCNGAGGGGGUAGAAUUCCACGUGUAGCAGUGAAAUGCGUAGAGAUGUGGAGGAAUACCGAUGGCGAAGGCAGCCCCCUGGGAUAACACUGACGCUCAUGUACGAAAGCGUGGGUAGCAAACAGGAUUAGAUACCCUGGUAGUCCACGCCCUAAACGAUGUCAACUGGUUGUUGGGGGAGUGAAAUCCCUUAGUAACGAAGCUAACGCGUGAAGUUGACCGCCUGGGGAGUACGGUCGCAAGAUUAAAACUCAAAGGAAUUGACGGGGACCCGCACAAGCGGUGGAUGAUGUGGAUUAAUUCGAUGCAACGCGAAAAACCUUACCUACCCUUGACAUGUCCAGAAUCCUGCAGAGAUGCGGGAGUGCCCGAAAGGGAAUUGGAACACAGGUGCUGCAUGGCUGUCGUCAGCUCGUGUCGUGAGAUGUUGGGUUAAGUCCCGCAACGAGCGCAACCCUUAUCAUUAGUUGCUACGCAAGGGCACUCUAAUGAGACUGCCGGUGACAAACCGGAGGAAGGUGGGGAUGACGUCAAGUCCUCAUGGCCCUUAUGGGUAGGGCUUCACACGUCAUACAAUGGUCGGUACAGAGGGUUGCCAAGCCGCGAGGUGGAGCCAAUCCCAGAAAGCCGAUCGUAGUCCGGAUUGUUCUCUGCAACUCGAGAGCAUGAAGUCGGAAUCGCUAGUAAUCGCGGAUCAGCAUGUCGCGGUGAAUACGUUCCCGGGUC